AUUGAACGCUGGCGGCAGGCUUAACACAUGCAAGUCGAGCGGGGAAGGGUAGCUUGCUACCUAACCUAGCGGCGGACGGGUGAGUAAUGCUUAGGAAUCUGCCAUUUAGUGGGGGACAACAUUCCGAAAGGAAUGCUAAUACCGCAUACGUCCUACGGGAGAAAGCAGGGGAUCUUCGGACCUUGCGCUAAAUGAUGAGCCUAAGUCGGAUUAGCUAGUUGGUGGGGUAAAGGCCUACCAAGGCGACGAUCUGUAGCGGGUCUGAGAGGAUGAUCCUCCACACUGGGACUGAGACACGGCCCAGACUCCUACGGGAGGCAGCAGUGGGGAAUAUUGGACAAUGGGCGGAAGCCUGAUCCAGCCAUGCCGCGUGUGUGAAGAAGGCCUUAUGGUUGUAAAGCACUUUAAGCGAGGAGGAGGCUACCUAGAUUAAUACUCUAGGAUAGUGGACGUUACUCGCAGAAUAAGCACCGGCUAACUCUGUGCCAGCAGCCGCCGCAGUAA
rnacentral:rRNA from 1 species